UGGGAACGGGGACUAGCAGCUUCCUGUGCCAGCGCAAAACCCUCCCCGCCUCCCCUCCCCAACCUUGGGGAACCAGCGAAGUCCACCUGCGGAGGGGUGGCCUGGGCUAGGGGGAGGUUGCGGGAGGAGAGUCUUGACAGCUGGAGGAGCUCUUGGCAGGUCGGCAAGGAAGGCGUUGUUGCGUGGACUGCACCGGAUUGCAGAUCUGUUUAAAACUGGGGGAGAACGUUCGGAACCGUCAGCUUGACGCGCAGCUAGAGGUAGUGAAGAUGCGCUGCUGCUGCUGGCAACGCUGAAGUUUGAGGGUGUGAAAUAACCUGUUAAUCUUACAGCAAGAAACUCCAGCAAUUUUAAUCUCCUUAGGAUCAGGAGACAUCACCUGAGCUAUUGGCCGAGCUGUGAAAGUUUAAAUGAGCCUGAACUUUGACCAUGAUCUUGCCUUCUGCCGUUAGCAAACAUCUGAGAAAAUCUUUGAAAGCUGAGACACAAAUAGGAUUGUGUUUAGCAACAGCAUAAGAAAGUGAAAGAGAAGCAUUUAUCAAGAUGAAAAACGUGACGAGGCAGGCCCUUCAGAGGGAAGACCCUGUGCUGUGACACAGCCCAAGAGCGCGUGCUGACCCUUUUUGAAAUUCCUUGUGCCUGAAGCACCUGCUGCUUAAUUGUCUGCUCUUCAUCUAAUUCUGGAACUUGGCACAGUAUCCACUUACCCAAGCUGGAAAAAUUCAGCGGCCAUCAAUUCAUCGCCGGCGCAGACCAUCACAGCCCAGCUCGCAUGCCUUCGGACUUCGUUAUUCUUAGAACGCAGGAGCUCUACCAGGGGUUCCAGCCCCCCUAAAUUUCUUAACUGAAAGUAGAAACCAAAAUGAUAUGCAUUAAA